rnacentral:rRNA from 1 species
CCCUUAGAUGUUCUGGGCCGCACGCGCGCUACACUGACGAAUGCAACGAGCUUAUAACCUUGGCCGAAAGGUCUGGGUAAUCUCCAAAUUUCGUCGUGAUGGGGAUAGAUUAUUGCAAUUAUUAAUCUUCAACGAGGAAUGCCUAGUAAGCGCAAGUCAUCAGCUUGCGUUGAUUACGUCCCUGCCCUUUGUACACACCGCCCGUCGCUCCUACCGAUUGGAUGGUCCGGUGAAGCGCUCGGACCGCGGCCUCUUGACGGUUUUCCGUCGAUUGGCUGUGGGAAGUUCGUUAAACCUUAUCAUUUAGAGGAAGGAGAAGUCGUAACA